UACGGAGGGUGCGAGCGUUGUCCGGAAUCACUGGGCGUAAAGCGCACGUAGGCGGUUCUUUAAGUCAGGGGUGAAAUCCCGGAGCUCAACUCCGGAACUGCCUUUGAUACUGGAGAUCUUGAGUCCGGGAGAGGUGAGUGGAACUGCGAGUGUAGAGGUGAAAUUCGUAGAUAUUCGCAAGAACACCAGUGGCGAAGGCGGCUCACUGGCCCGGUACUGACGCUGAGGUGCGAAAGCGUGGGGAGCAAACAGG
rnacentral:rRNA from 1 species